rnacentral:tRNA from 1 species
AUUUCUAUAAUUUAUUUAAAUUUAUAUUUUAAUGUAAAUUUAUAUAGUUUAAAAAACAUUACAUUUUCAUUGUAAAAUUAAAUAUUUAUUAUUUUAUAA